AUUGAACGCUGGCGGCAGGCCUAACACAUGCAAGUCGAACGAGCGGCGGACGGGUGAGUAAUGUAUGGGGAACUGCCUGAUAGAGGGGGAUAACUACUGGCAACGGUAGCUAAUACCGCAUACUAUCGGAUGACCCCAUAUGGGAUUAGCUAGUAGGUGGGGUAAAGGCUCACCAAGGCGACGAUCUCUAGCUGGUCUGAGAGGCUGAUCAGCCACACUGGGACUGAGACACGGCCCAGACUCCUACGGGAGGCAGCAGUGGGGAAUAUUGCACAAUGGGCGCAAGCCUGAUGCAGCCAUGCCGCGUGUAUGAAGAAGGCCUUAGGGUUGUAAAGUACUUUCAGCGGGGAGGCGUUACCCGCAGAAGAAGCACCGGCUAACUCCGUGCCAGCAGCCGCGGUAAUUC
rnacentral:rRNA from 1 species